rnacentral:rRNA from 1 species
GACGAACGCUGGCGGCGUGCUUAACACAUGCAAGUCGAACGGAAAGGCCCUGCUUUUGUGGGGUGCUCGAUUGGCGAACGGGUGAGUAACACGUGAGUAACCUGCCCUUGACUUUGGGAUAACUUCAGGAAACUGGGGCUAAUACCGGAUAGGAGCUCCUGCUGCAUGGUGGGGGUUGGAAAGUUUCGGCGGUUGGGGAUGGACUCGCGGCUUAUCAGCUUGUUGGUGAGGUAGUGGCUUACCAAGGCUUUGACGGGUAGCCGGCCUGAGAGGGUGACCGGCGACAUUGGGACUGAGAUACGGCCCAGACUCCUACGGGAGGCAGCAGUGGGGAAUAUUGCACAAUGGGCGGAAGCCUGAUGCAGCAACGCCGCGUGCGGGAUGACGGCCUUCGGGUUGUAAACCGCUUUCGCCUGUGACGAAGCGUGAGUGACGGUAAUGGGUAAAGAAGCACCGGCUAACUACGUG